rnacentral:rRNA from 1 species
UACGUAGGGUGCAAGCGUUGUCCGGAAUUACUGGGCGUAAAGGGUUCGUAGGUGGCCAACUAAGUCAGACGUGAAAUCCCUCAGCUUAACUGGGGAACUGCGUCUGAGACUGGAUGGCUUGAGUGCAGGAGAGGAACGCGGAAUUCCAGGUGUAGCGGUGAAAUGCGUAGAUAUCAAGAGGAACACCUGAGGUGAAGACGGGUUGCUGGGCCAACACUGACGCUGAUGCGCGAAAGCCAGGGGAGCAAACGGG